UCCAGGCUCCUGGCACAGAUGAUGGGGUCGGACGGCUGAGGGAGGAUGCGCUGCGGCCAGAGGGUUUGCUCCAGGUCCUCAGGGCAGCGCGUCGCCUUGCUGCUGUUGGAGCAGGUCCUGGGGAAGGAGUGGCGGUGACAGCCAUCAGGGACACGUUGGAGAUGCAUUUAACCCCUCGGGAUCAUUUUGGGGGACAGGGCUCUCUUUUAUCACUUGGGCUGGUUUUGGAAAUCUGGCUUCUCACCUGUGGGCCGACACCUGGACAUCCUGCACUCUGUGGGGUGUCGAGCACCCCGGCCUCCACUUGCUUCACGCCAGCACCCCUAGUGUGGGCAGGCAGAGCUGUGCCAAUGGGCGCCCACCGGGUUCCCGGGUUCAGAGCUGCUGAGAGAGGAACAGGCCCCAGGAGCCUCGGCAGGCUGGAGAGGCUGCGGAGGCUCUGCACUCAGAGCUUUCUUCCUCGACUCUCUGCACCUCUGUGUCUCCGUGGGUUUGGGAUGGGACAGGCACUGGGAAGCGCCCUCUCUGCAGCCGUGGGAGGGCCGCUUCAAGCCCAUGAGAAGUAAGCGGAGUGGGCAUGGCCGGCCACCCUGGCCUCCCCGUGAGGUCCUGUCCUACUGGAGCCUCGUCACCAGAUCCAGGCGUGGCCAGGAGAGGCCUGGGGGCUGAGGGCCUCUGAGGGCUGUUCCCCCAGCUCUGAGCGCAGCCAGGGGCCUGCUGGUGUUGCUGUGCUCACCUGAUCCCAGAAGACAACAAUGCUUUUUAUAAUUUUGCUAAAAUACCAGUGUUUGCGCGGUUGCUGCAGAGACUCCGAGGGUAGGAUCCAAAAUAGAACGUCUAGACAAACUCCUACUGUCUGACCUUUUCUGCAUUUCAUGAUCCACCCGAUCUGGCCAAGCAAACGGUGAGUAAGCAGCAGCUCACUCGGCACCCUGUCACCGGCCUGACAAGGUCCAGGUCACCGCUGUAAAGUGCAGUCUGGCUGUGCGGGCAAUGUACGGGGCUGCAUGUGUGAGGGUCCACAUGCACCCACACGGCCACUACUGCACCUACAGCACUGCAGACCCACCUCCGUGGGGGCCUUCACGAGAGCUGGACCAGACCUGCUGGGGACUUGCCUGUGCAAUGUGAGGACAACCAGAGCCCCCAGGGGCCUGGGGUCAUCCCUAAAGGCACGAUGGCAGCCCUCAGGGUGGGCCCUGCAUGACAUCGUGGGUGGCCGCAGCCCCUGGCCCAGGAAGCCUCCUCACAGGAGCUGAUGCUGCCCGGCCCGGAUGACUCCCAGGGCUCUCGACCCCAGGCACUUGGGCUCUGGGCCCCACCACGGCCAGCAAGCCUGCACUCAGAACUGCGGGACCCCUCUGGGAAGUCAGCUCACAGGGCAGCCUGGGCAGUAGUGGAGUGAGCCCCUCAGGACGAACAGCCACUCAACCCCGUCGGUGACAUUCGUCCCUACAGCUCAGCUUCCUUAUGUGCCUUCUGCGGCCUGCCUGACCCCCAGCAGCAUGCUGACUGUUCCCACAGGACACACACUGAACUGCCCCUCUGAGGGACUGCGUCUACCUCGAUGCCCAGAUGGUGGUUCUGCUAGCAGCCUUGGAGCGUGUCCUGCGUGGCUUUCCUAUUUCAGAACUUCCUACAAAGCUGUGGUCACUGAACCCUGUGGCACCAGCACUGAGGCCGACUCAGAGCAGAGGAAGACAGAGAGUCCAGAUAUAAAUCCACAUCGACGCUGUGUGCAGGGGAGGAAGAGCCCCUCUGAUGGGUGGGCGGGGGGUGAGGGCGGGAUGUCCCGUCACACCGCAUGCAUAACCCACUUGAUGUGCACCACGGACCUCAGCGGAAGACUCACAACAACUAGACUCUUAGAAGAAAUCAUAGGACAAAAGCUUCAUGACACUGGACUUGGCAAUGACGUCUUGGAUGUGACACCAAAGACAGUAGCAACAAGAGAAAGAACAGACCAACUGAACUUCAUGAAAUUGUAAAAUCGUGUACAUCAAAAGACAUUAUCCAGAGUAAAAAGACAACCACAGAAGAGGAGACAAUAACUGCAAAUCAUAUAUCUGACAAGGGAUUAACACCCAGGACAGAAAGAGAACUCCUGAAACUCACCACCAGCACCAAAAUGGGG
rnacentral:lncRNA from 1 species